rnacentral:rRNA from 1 species
UACGUAGGGUGCAAGCGUUAAUCGGAAUUACUGGGCGUAAAGCGUGCGCAGGCGGUUAUGUAAGUCAGAUGUAAAAUCCCCGGGCUCAACCUGGGAAUGGCAUUUGAGACUGCAUGGCUAGAGUGUGUCAGAGGGGGGUAGAAUUCCACGUGUAGCAGUGAAAUGCGUAGAUAUGUGGAGGAAUACCGAUGGCGAAGGCAGCCCCCUGGGAUAACACCGACGCUCAAGCACGAAAGCGUGGGGAGCAAACAGG